rnacentral:rRNA from 1 species
GAUGAACGCUGGCGGCGUGCCUAAUACAUGCAAGUCGAGCGAACGGACGAGAAGCUUGCUUCUCUGAUGUUAGCGGCGGACGGGUGAGUAACACGUGGAUAACCUACCUAUAAGACUGGGAUAACUUCGGGAAACCGGAGCUAAUACCGGAUGAUAUUUUGAACCGCAUGGUUCAAAAGUGAAAGACGGUCUUGCUGUCACUUAUAGAUGGAUCCGCGCUGCAUGAGCUAGUUGGUAAGAUAACGGCUUACCAAGGCAACGAUGCAUAGCCGACCUGAGAGGGUGGUCGGCCACCCUGGAACUGAGACACCGUCCAGACUCCUACGGGAGGCAGCAGUAGGGAAUCUUCCGCAAUGGGCGAAAGCCUGGCGGAGCAACGCCGCGUGAGUGAUGAAGGUCUUCGGAUCGUAAAACUCUGUUAUUAGGGAAGAACAUAUGUGUAAGUAACUGUGCACAUCUUGACGGUACCUAAUCAGAAAGCCACGGCUAACUACGUG